GCGGACGUGGUGGAAUGGCAGACACGUUGGUCUUAGGAGCCAAUGCUUCGGCGUGUGGGUUCAAGUCCCACCGUCCGCA
rnacentral:tRNA from 1 species